AUGACGAGCGGCGGACGGGUGAGUAAUACUUAGGAAUCUACCUAGUAGUGGGGGAUAGCACGGGGAAACUCGUAUUAAUACCGCAUACGACCUACGGGAGAAAGGGGGCAGUUUACUGCUCUCGCUAUUAGAUGAGCCUAAGUCGGAUUAGCUAGAUGGUGGGGUAAAGGCCUACCAUGGCGACGAUCUGUAGCUGGUCUGAGAGGAUGAUCAGCCACACCGGGACUGAGACACGGCCCGGACUCCUACGGGAGGCAGCAGUGGGGAAUAUUGGACAAUGGGGGAAACCCUGAUCCAGCCAUGCCGCGUGUGUGAAGAAGGCCUUUUGGUUGUAAAGCACUUUAAGCAGUGAAGAAGACUCUUCGGUUAAUACCCGGAGACGAUGACAUUAGCUGCAGAAUAAGCACCGGCUAACUCUGUGCCAGCAGCCGCGGUAAUACAGAGGGUGCAAGCGUUAAUCGGAAUUACUGGGCGUAAAGGGAGCGUAGGUGGCUCGAUAAGUCAGAUGUGAAAUCCCCGGGCUCAACCUGGGAACUGCAUCUGAUACUGUUGAGCUAGAGUAGGUGAGAGGGAGGUAGAAUUUCAGGUGUAGCGGUGAAAUGCGUAGAGAUCUGAAGGAAUACCGAUGGCGAAGGCAGCCUCCUGGCAUCAUACUGACACUGAGGCUCGAAAGCGUGGGUAGCAAACAGGAUUAGAUACCCUGGUAGUCCACGCCGUAAACGAUGUCUACUAGUCGUUGGGUCCCUUGAGGACUUAGUGACGCAGCUAACGCAAUAAGUAGACCGCCUGGGGAGUACGGCCGCAAGGUUAAAACUCAAAUGAAUUGACGGGGGCCCGCACAAGCGGUGGAGCAUGUGGUUUAAUUCGAUGCAACGCGAAGAACCUUACCUGGUCUUGACAUAUCUAGAAUCCUGCAGAGAUGCGGGAGUGCCUUCGGGAAUUAGAAUACAGGUGCUGCAUGGCUGUCGUCACCUCCUGUCCUGAAAUGUUUGGGUUAAAUCCCCCAACGAACGCAACCCUUGUCCUUAGUUACCAGCGGGUUAAGCCGGGAACUCUAAGGAUACUGCCAGUGACAAACUGGAGGAAGGCGGGGACGACGUCAAGUCAUCAUGGCCCUUACGACCAGGGCUACACACGUGCUACAAUGGUAGGUACAGAGGGCAGCUACACAGCGAUGUGAUGCGAAUCUCAAAAAGCCUAUCGUAGUCCAGAUUGGAGUCUGCAACUCGACUCCAUGAAGUAGGAAUCGCUAGUAAUCGCGGAUCA
rnacentral:rRNA from 1 species